CCUACGGGAGGCAGCAGUAGGGAAUAUUGCUCAAUGGGGGAAACCCUGAAGCAGCAACGCCGCGUGGAGGAUGAAGGUUUUCGGAUUGUAAACUCCUUUUGUUAGAGAAGAUAAUGACGGUAUCUAACGAAUAAGCACCGGCUAACUCCGUGCCAGCAGCCGCGGUAAUACGGAGGGUGCAAGCGUUACUCGGAAUCACUGGGCGUAAAGAGCGCGUAGGCGGGAUAGCAAGUCAGAUGUGAAAUCCUAUGGCUUAACCAUAGAACUGCAUUUGAAACUGUUAGUCUAGAGUAUGGGAGAGGUAGGUGGAAUUCUUGGUGUAGGGGUAAAAUGCGUAGAGAUCAAGAGGAACACUCAUUGCGAAGGCGGCCUGCUAGAACGUAACUGACGCUGAUGCGCGAAAGCGUGGGGAGCAAACAGGAUUAGAUACCCCAGUAGUC
rnacentral:rRNA from 1 species